UCCUUAGUGGUGUAACGGCUAACAUCGCUGUCUUUCAAUUCCCGCGUGUUCCGUGGUUCAAUUGUGCACAGCAGCUCGGGGUUCGAUUCCCCGCUAAGGAG